GCUCUUUUGUUAGUGAUACUUUGAUGUCAUGGUUUCACUGGUUUCAUUGGUUGUUUACAGCACAGAUAUUUUCAUCCCUGAGAAUGGAUCAAAAAAGAACUCCAAAAAAAUAAUAAUUGUAUUGUCUGACGGACAAAUGUUGGGAGACCCAAUGAAUCUUACUGAUGUUUUAAACAUGCCACAAAUGAAAGGUGUCAAUCGCUAUUCAAUUGGAGUUGGUAAAGGCAUUCUGUCUAAUCCUGAAGCAAUACAAGAGAUGAGGGAAAUAGCAGAUCCUAAUAGGUUUUUUUAUGUUUCCAAUUAUGCCGCAUUAGAAGACAUUCUUUUCUUAAUGGACCUAAGUGGGACUGAUUUUCACCCUCCUGCUCAGCUCACAAAAAUGUGUGUCAAAGUCUGAAGGCUCAAGAACAUGGAGGAAGACGGAGAAGAUUCCUUCUUCAAAAAGAAGUGGAAACUCAUUUACUCAUUUUUACAAUUAUAUGAUUAUGAAAGUAGAUUUAGGCAUUAGUUGUUAUAGUUAGAAAAGUGGCUCCACUGACAAACAUUUUACUGUCUGUUUUAAGUUCAGGUACAAGCUCAGGUUGAAUUCAGCAUAUACACUAUCAAAGUGUCAUGGGAGAAAGAUGUAAUAUUUCAGAGUCUAAUCUAUAGCGGCAUCUUCUUUUCCAACUGCCCAGAGCUAAACAUUGGAAAGGGCCUCAAAAUGUGACACAGGUAUGAAGAUUGAAGGCACAUUGUAUCUAUAACUUAUCAUUUUAAAGGGGUCAUCAGAUGCAAAAUUCACUUUACAAGUUGUUUGAACAUAUAUGUGUGUUGGAAGUGUGUGUACACAUCCAUCCUAUAAUGAUAAAAAUCCACCCAGUGUUCAGGCUGUUCUGAGAUUCCUGUCAGAAUGACAUAGUUCUGCACAGGCCCCUCCCACAAAGGUUGAUUGACAAGGUUGUCUUACUUUCGACCUGCCCUGAGUGAGCAGUGAGCUGUCCGCCAUUGUGUCAACUCCGGUGCAGGGGAAGACAAUAAUGUCUCCGAUUAAGCGAUUGAGAUGUUUUGUUGUUAGAUAUAAUA